rnacentral:rRNA from 1 species
CAGUAACCGCGGUAAAACGUAGGUCCCGAGCGUUGUCCGGAUUUAUUGGGCGUAAAGCGAGCGCAGGCGGUUAGAUAAGUCUGAAGUUAAAGGCUGUGCUUAACCAUAGUAUGCUUUGGAAACUGUUUAACUUGAGUGCAGAAGGGGAGAGUGGAAUUCCAUGUGUAGCGGUGAAAUGCGUAAAUAUAUGGAGGAACACCGGUGGCGAAAGCGGCUCUCUGGUCUGUAACUGACGCUGAGGCUCGAAAGCGUGAGGAGCAAACAGGAUUAGAUACCCGUGUAGUCCCUGUCUCUUAUACAC